UACGAGAGGCGCAAACGUUAUUCGGAUUUACUGGGCUUAAAGAGUUCGUAGGCGGCGCAGAAAGUAGGGUGUGAAAGCCCUCGGCUCAACCGAGGAAUUGCGCUCUAAACUACUGUGCUUGAGGAACCUAGAGGUGAGCAGAACUGAUGGUGGAGCGGUGAAAUGCGUUGAUAUCAUCAGGAAUACCGGAGGGCGAAGGCGGCUCACUGGGGG
rnacentral:rRNA from 1 species